rnacentral:rRNA from 1 species
UACGUAGGUGACCAGCGUUGUCCGGAUUUACUGGGCGUAAAGUGUGCGCAGGCGGCCGCGCAAGUCGAGUGUGAAAGCCCCGAGCCUUAACUUGGGAAUUGCGCUCGAAACUACGUGGCUGGAGUGUGGCAGAGGAAGGUGGAAUUCCACGUGUAGCGGUGAAAUGCGUAGAGAUGUGGAGGAACACCAAUGGCGAAGGCAGCCUUCUGGGCCAACACUGACGCUCAUGCACGAAAGCGUGGGGAGCAAACAGG